rnacentral:lncRNA from 1 species
AAUGAAGCAAUAAAGAUCUACAACGACAGCAAAUCAGCUAUAGCAAUGAUCAAGAAUCCUGUAUUUCACAGCAGAACAAAACAUAUUGGCAUCAAGUAUCAGUUCAUCAGAGAAACUGAAGCAAACAAAGAGAUAGAACUUAAACAUUGCAAAACUGAAGAACAAUUGGCGGACAUAUUCACGAAGGCGCUAUCACGAGCAAAGUUCGAGCUACUACGGGAAAUGAUUGGAGUUACCGAAAUGAGCAUCAAGGAGGAGUGAUAAAUUUAAUGAUGCUCAUUUCUAGAAGAAUUUAGAAUUACUUGCCUAGAAUAUCCUAGAAUUCCUUGGUAAGCAAGUAUAAUAAAAAAUUAAGAAUUGUCUAGAUUCCACUAGAGUAACUUGGACACCAAAAAACCUUGUAUAGGUUGUAGACACUUGUAGAAUUUUCUAGAAGAUAUGAUAAGAGUCUAUAAAUAGGGCAUGAUCCCUCAUUUGUUAGUAAGUAAAAAAGAAAAAAGAAGCUAGACAAAGCUCAAGCUAUUGUAAGCUAUCAUCAUUCUAAUAAAAUUCAUUUCUCCUACCCACUUUGUCCACCAAAUUACUUUCUACCAAAAUCUUCCAAACUAUUAACUUUCAAUAAAAAGCCAACUAUUUUUUACCUCCAAAAUUAUUCCAUACAAAACAUCCUCAAUCAUCCUAUCUCAUCACUACAACAACACAAAAACUAUCAAAGUACAUUCUAUAAUGGCACAAUCAAAGUCAUUGAGUCAGGUGGCUUACUCAGCGUCGAGUCUGUUUUCUUGUUUUGCCUAGGAGUUGCCCUUCUUGGUCUUCUUGGAUUUUGGAUAUGUAGUCAGAUACAGCAUUACUCAAAGGUGAUCACAUAAUUAUAAGCUUCACAAAGCUAACACGAUAUGCUGUACUGAGAUAGUGAAUGACACCUUCCGGUUUUCUCUUUCUUGAUAAUUAGAAAACUAAGAGUGCACCUAAGGUUGAAGUUGGAACUGGGACGACUGAUGCUUCAUUGGAUGAGUGGUUGCAGGUUUAUAUUUUCUGCAUGAUUGAAACUCCAUUCACUUGACGCAAGGAAUAAGGAAAAUCGCACUAUUGGUGCCCAAAAUAUUUCUGAAUUUCAAGAUCAUUAACCUUUUAUUAUAGUUGAACAACCAAUCCCAGUGUUGGUAACUAUCUAAUUGUCCAUAAAUUGCCAGGUGACAAUUUGACAGAUGCUCGUUGGGACUAAUUGUGUAACUAUAAUGAAAAGUUGAAGACCAAUUUUCUCCCUUUAAAGGUUGGGGAUCAACAUGCUACUGGGGCAGUGAGUUACAGACCAAUGAUACAAUCUUCGCUAAAUUAUGGGUCUGGAACACUUUUAAGUUCUUGAAAAUGUUUCUUCAUAUCCUGCAAAUGUUAAUUUACACGAAAGCUAAAAGUUUCACAACUAUGUCUCUAAAUGUUCUGGGAACUGCCUAUACUCAGUCUGUGUCUAGUAACUUAAAGAAGAAGAAGUAGAUGAUCAUCCCUUUGCAGAAGUUAAGGACGAGUAUCAUGCAGCUAUGAUUCUCGCAACACGGCUUAGGGAUUCGAAAGUGAAAUCGUGUUUUGAGAAACUAGUCUGUGAAGGAUCUGUCUCGAUUCUGUAUCAAGAGGGAGAAACUUUUACAUUUUCAUUUUCUUAGUCUCAAUUCAGAACUUGAGCCAUUUUUAAUGCCAAAUGAUUAUUCAUCAAUGAAAAGCUACAGCUUUGUUAAAACGUGAAAUUUCAUCUAUAUUAUGGUUAUCUUUGAACUUUUGUUCGAUUGAAGUCGUUUGAGUGUUUGCA